CGUCGCGCAGGGCCGCGCGCAGCGUGACGGGCUGCCCGGGGGCCAGGCCGCGCACGGAGAUGCGCACUGGCUGGUCGCAGAGGCAACCAUCCGCGGGCUCCAGGAUCACCGUAGGUGCCAUCCGGCUCUGGGCGGUAGUGGUGCCUGCGGAGCUGACGAUUGCGGUGGUUGUCUGAGAUAAGGUUUCACCUGGCUCAGGGUGACCUUGAGCUUGCGCUGCUAAGGAUGACCUGGAACUCCUGACCUCCUGCCUCCGCCUCCCAAAGGCUGGGAUCGCAGGCCUGGACCACCACUCUGCACCCUUCCCGAUGUCUUUAAAUGAAACGUUUUCCUGGGAUGACUCGGCGGGCUGACACGUUUCAACUGUGCUGAUAUCAAGCAGGGAACUGGUGUUUUUCCAACUCAGCCAAGAGAAAGGUCAGGCAGACCGAGUUAUUUAAAAGGGUUUCAUAAACGGACCUUGUUACAAAAGCAUAGGUAGCUGUCCUGUGAAAACAGAGACCAAGGUCAAAAGGUAGGUCAGAGUUAACGCUGUGAAGCUGGGAAGGGAGACUUAAAAAGGCUUGCAGCUGGGCAUGAGAGCUAGCCUGGCUUCCCUGAGGCGCCUUCCCCGAGGAACUCAGGCAAGGCAUUGUUCCCCAACAGUAUAUUAUUGUUCCUAAUGCAGCUAAUGGAAGCUGACUAAAGUUUAAGGGUGGCUUCCAAAAAUAAAAUGUUAAAAAAUGACCUAUUUCACACCGCCCCUACUAUGAGCUAAAAAUGAAGUAACCAAGGAAAACCACAGCUAUGUCUUCGUAGCCGUGAUAACUCUUAACUCUCCAUAGACAGUAAAGGAAAAAGGCCACUAUAAGGUGCCAGCUGACCACGUACCCUAGAAACAAAGAAAGCAUAGGUUAAGUGGCUAGCAGACCCCACCAGGGUUUAGAACCAGCAAGACCCUGCAAAGUCGGAGCCAAGCAACACUGGCCAGGACUGGAACUACCAGCAGACAGACAGGGUCAAGAGCUAAGAAUGUAGAAGUCAGAGAUGGACAGAGAAGGGCUCCAAUCAUCCCUAACUUGGCAAGCAGUGCCCCAAACAGACCAAAUAGACCAUGCUGGCCUCAAACUCCCUGAUUAUUAUUAUUACUGUAUUUACUAAAAUGAGAUCAUCUGCAGGGGUUUUCUCCAACUCCUCAUAAUUAAGGUCAAGAAAAUAUCCAUCUUCAUGAAACACAAGAACAGAACACCUAACUCUAGUCAGAUGGAAGGACUGGGGAGUGCCUCCGCAGCACAGGGUUUGCAGAGCAAGAACAGGCUGUGUGUUUUGUCUCCAGCACCAGAAAUAAGUAAAACAGAACACAUGUCUUAAAAAAGUCAUAGUCAGAAUCCUGGCGGAACCGCCGCUCCCAAGGUCAGACUAGGAUGCUUUAUUAAAAUAGGAUAAUUGAAUAUUUCAUGUGGCUUUUGAGUUUUUACCAUCUUCCUUAAAAGUUAAGAUGUGGAACAACCCAAGGUAAAAUCUAAGGAGCACAUUCCCACCCUCACCACUGUGCCCAGUGAAUACACAGAGGUUUGUCGGUAGGUGAGCUCCUCAGUAGCUCCCCUGUCUCUUGCCAGGAUCCGCACCUUGAAAUAAUUAACGAGCCUCCUCCUGCUGUCCAUUUAACUGUUUCUGUGAAGUCAGAAAUUUUCUUCCUUUUUUCUUCUUUUCUUUCUCCUUUCUUUCUUUCUUUCUUUCUUUCUUUCUUCCUUUCUUUCUUUCUUUCUUUCUUUCUUCCUUUCUUCCUUUCUUCCUUUCUUCCCGCAUCCUUUUUGUAGCCUUGGCUGUCCUGGACUCUCUUUGUAGACCAGGCUGGCCUCAAAAUUAUAGACACCUGCCUGCCUCUGCCUCCCUGAGUGCCGGGAUUACAGGCGUUUGGCACCUUGCCCUGCUAUAAACCAAUUCUUUAUAUCAGAUUCAGCUUAAUUAUUCACAGAGGUACAGCCAGAGAAUCUGUUUACCAGACAGUAGUCUUAGCUUUAGAAACUUUUUCAGGUAGCCAAGCCAAGACAGGUUUUAUUUUGUGGGGUUUUGUUGGUGGUGUUUGUUUAUUUUGAGGCAGGGCUCUCAAUCUGUAGCCCAGAUAGCCCCAGUCUCUUUGGAAUAUUUCCGCUUCAGCCUCCCAAGUUCUGAGGUUACACAGAGGUAGACAGAGUUUUCACUGAGCGUCUGUGAUAUCUUGAGAAUACAGAGUCUCAUUGAAGGUAUAUUUUUUCUCACUGUCAGACUGGAAACCUUGGUAGGCAGACAUUAUACAGAUUUUUGAAAUAUGCUAAUGUUUUUAAUUGUGUUAUACAGAGAGAAGAUUCUUUUGAACUUACCCAAACAAAUGCAUUGCAUUAAUAAAAAUAAAAGUAUGAAUAGACUUUGAAGAAAUGAGGAAGGCAGAAAAAAUAAGGGUUUCCACCUUUGUUUAUAAAUGACAUUUUAUGAAAGUGAUGCGAGCUUUGGGGGGCUUACACAGAUCUUUCUUUAGUUCUCCACAACAGAGACCUGUAAGAAAAGAGCCAGAAACACUUUACAUAGGAGACAUCAAACUGGAACAUGCUUGUAAAAUCCUUCCACUUCAGAGGUUCAGGCAGGAGAAUUACCAUGAGUUAGGGAGUGAUAUCACAUUUUAUUAAGGAAGACACAGGGGCUGAAGUGAUGCUUCCGUGGUUAAGAACACUGGCUGUUUUGCAGAAGACCUAGGUUCUAUUCCCAGCACUCACAUGGCAGCUCACAACCAUCUGUAACUCCAGUUCCAGGGGUAUCUGACACCUUCCUCUGACCUCCACAGGCUCCUGUAUGCUUUCGGCACACAGUCAUACACUCAGGCACAUGCACGUACAAUAAAUAUCUUUAGAAAUUUUAAAUGGGUGCCACCCCUAAUGUUAUGAGCUUAUUCAGCCUUGCAUGAUUCUUGUUCUGUUUAAUCUUUAGUAGCAGUUUGAUGACUUCAGUUCCUUCUUUAAAGUUCUGGAAAUGUUUAUUUAGUUCCUGAGUUACUGGAAACAAGGCUGUGUAUGAUAAACGACUUGGUUGAAAUUCUGAUGAGAAUUUAGCAGUUGACAAGGAAGUUUGGUUAUUUUCACUGCAUACAGAGUUUUGAGGAUUCUGGCUCAGACUUUACGAGUGCCAGGUAAUCUUUAGAUUCAUGUGGGGAGCACAUGAGGAAACACAUUGUCGCCACUGCACGAUCCUGUAGAACCAGCAGCUGGAUCGCUCCAUUAUCUGAAAGAUGAGAGGAUCCUUGAAGGCUCACCCAGGGCCCAAGGGGAAAUGUUCAAGUCCAGAAGUUUUCAUUUAGAACUUUGAUCCUGGGGAAGUCUGCCAACGAUGACCUGUUUAAAACAUUUGACACCAUUGCGAAAUAAUAGUCAUUUGGCAAUCAACCUCCACUAGAGAUCAGGUGUAUAGUUAUAAAGUUACUGAAAGGCUUGGAAAAAAAAAACAGUCCUUAACUAUUUUAGGCUCCCUUUAAUUAAGUAUGAAACACUCAAUAGAAGAGCAGGAAAAAAAAAACAAAAACCAAAAACAUGAGAACAAAACUAAAACCUUCCAGCCACAGCACUGGUUCUGUUUGAGGGAGCCAGUUCAGACACCCCUAAGCCAAACCUGCUGAAAGGGAGCUUGAAUAUGAAUCUGUGUGCAAAUGAUGAGUUCAUACUCAUCAUGUAUGAUGAUAUGGAAGAACAGAAACAACAAAGCCAGCACCUUGAACACAGGACUCUUGGAAAUGGUGCAAGUGUGUGGAAUUGUGUGGUUUUCCUCUAAUUCAACGCAGGAAGAAAAGCCAUGAGUAAAGAUUCAAGUUAUCUACAUUGUCAAAACAAACAUUUUUGGUGUCUGUUACAACAGUAAAGUCAAAAUCAGAGUCAAAGAAGAAGGGAGGAAAGCUCAAAGGGGCUUAUAAGAAAGAGAGAGAGACAGACAGACAGAGGGAGAUGAAUUAGUGGGUACUGUGAAGCUGGAAAGUUGUUAAGAACAUAACCAAAACAAAACAGAACUCUCAUAACUGACCGCAAAACCUUUGCAGUUUUUUUCCUAGGGGGAAAACAAACUUGUUGAGAAAACCUGGCUCCGAUGGUGUGAUGACACACCUUUAAUCCCUGCACUCAGGAGGCUGAGGUGAAAUGCUCUUAUAUCUGCAGGCCAGCCUUGUCCAUCUAGCAAGUCGCAGGCCAGCCCAGGCUACAGCCUAAGAAAAGGAGGAAGAGGGGAGAAGGCCAGGCAGGAAGACUAUCAGGCUCCAGCCGGUCUUGUUCUGAGUUCUGGUCUACCACGAAGUGAGAAGUUGUUUUUGUUGUUUUCUGAGACAGGGUUUCUCUGCGUAGCCCUGGCUGUCCUGAAACUCUCUGUACACCAGGAUAACCUCAAACUCGGAGAUCCUCCUGCCUCUACCUCCCAAUUGCAGGGAUUAAAGGCAUGUGCCACCAUGCUUUUUGAAGUGAGAAGUUUUUCUCCAAAGCUGCUGCUCCCAUGAAUGCCAUGCCUUCCCCUCCAUGCUGGGUUGAAACUGGUAAAACCACAAGUCAAAUUGUUCUAUCAGGUGUUUUGUCACAGUGAAGCAAAAGCAGCUAACAUAGACAUAGAACACAGAUAAAUGUAACCCUCUCUGGUCACAGAGAGCUGUGAGAUGGCUCCACUGAUUGAGUUGCCUGCCACCAAGCCUGAUGACCUGAGUUCAAUCCCAGAGCCUGCAUGGUCGAAGAGCUGACUCCCACACAUUGUCCUCUGACCUACACACACACACACACAAAUGUAACAAAAACUGCACUUGUAAAAAAUGUAUGCUAACGGUUAUGAGAACAUCGUUUUUGCUAAAGCUUGUUUAACGUAAAGCUUGUUUAUGUAAGGCAUGUGAAAUAGAAAUGAUUUGGGUUAACUGCAGUAAUCUUUUUUUAUUUUUUCCUUUUUUUGUUGUUUGUGUAUGUGUUUGUUUGUUUGUUUGUUUUUAAGACAGAAUUUCUUUGUGUAGCCCUGACUGUCCUGGAAUUUGCUCUGUAGACCAGGUUGGCCUCAAACUCACAGAGAAGCUACCUGUCUCUGUUUCUUAUCAUGUGGGCACAAAAAUAUAACAUGUACACACGCAAAGCACACACCAACACAUAUGCCCAAGGAUUUUAUAGCUUCUAGCACACGCAAAGCACACACCAACACAUAUGCCCAAGGAUUUUAUAGCUUCUAGCUUAGAAUUCUAGUCACUAGACAAGAGGGGCUGAUGAGUUGACUGUGUGCAAAAGCAAUAAACUUGAAAGCCUGGCACUGAGGGACCACCUGGGAAUGAGAAACAACUGUGAUUCUUUGAAUUGAAGCCAGGUGCAGAGAGCUCUUGAAGGGCGGGGUGAACUGUUCUGAGAAACAACCAGCUGUAAACUAUAGAGCAAAAGUGACCUGAUUUUCAGGUAUAAAAACCCUGUGCUUUGCAUGUUCGGAGUCCUCUCCUGUCUUUGGAGGGGUCUUAACAGCAAUAAAACCUCUUGCUUUUACAUCGA